UAGAAUUGAAGAAUUAUGUGAACCAUGGUGYUAAUUAACACGCAGUUGCGCCCGAGCCAUUAGGCCGAGGGCACGUCGGCCUGGGCGUCACGCAUCGCGUCGCCCUCCCUGUCCCUCCUCGCCCWGGAACGGGCGGGGCCGGAGAGGGGGGGUGCGUAGACUGGCCUCCCGUGCUGCGAGCGYGGCCGGCCUAAACCUUGGUCCCCCGUCGUGGACUUCACAACAAGUGGUGGUUGAAUCCCUCAACUCGAGUGCGAGUCGAGGGGGAACCCGAGAGCGGGGAGGCCGAACGACCCMKCAGGAAGCCCCCCCUUCGCGAAGGAGGAGGAUCAAAGCUCGCCACAACCGCGACUCCAGGUCAGGCGGGGCUACCCGCUGAGUUUAAGCAUAUCAUUAACUGGAGAAAAAGAAACUAACCAGGAUUCGCUUAGUAACAGCGAGCGAACCGGAAUAGCCCAAGCUUARAAUCGUGCAACUUCCACGUCGAA
rnacentral:rRNA from 1 species